CUGCCUGAGUCUGAUAGCGACAAUGAUGAGGAGACUCAUUCAUUAGAUAAGCAGCCUUCUACUAUCCAUAGGGGGUGUUUGGUGACCCAACUGGGAUCAUCAUGGUAAUCUAAUUAAGAUCACUAGUAAUUCAAAUCCUGGGGUGAUUUGAUUCCUAGCUAGCGAUCUAAGAUUGUUAUAUUUGAUUGGCUAUAGUGCUGGGU
rnacentral:lncRNA from 1 species